UACGUAGGGGCAAGCGUUGUCCGGAUUUAUUGGGCGUAAAGAGCGUGUAGGCGGCCAGACAGGUCAGCUGUGAAACUCGAGGCUCAACCUCGAGACGUCGGUUGAAACCGUCUGGCUAGAGUCCGGAAGAGGAGAGUGGAAUUCCUGGUGUAGCGGUGAAAUGCGCAGAUAUCGGGAAGAACACCCGUGGCGAAGGCGGCUCUCUGGGACGGUACUGGACGCUGAGACGCGAAAGCGUGGGAGCGAACGAGGA
rnacentral:rRNA from 1 species